CGGGGCUUGCUCCGGUGAAAGUGGCGGACGGGUGAGUAACGCGUGGGAACCUGCCCAGUGGUCGGGGAUAACUGCGGGAAACUGCAGCUAAUACCCGGUAAGCCCUACGGGGGAAAGAUUUAUCGCCAUUGGAGGGGCCCGCGUCGGAUUAGGUAGUUGGUGGGGUAAAGGCCUACCAAGCCUUCGAUCCGUAGCUGGUCUGAGAGGAUGAUCAGCCACACUGGGACUGAGAUACGGCCCAGACUCCUACGGGAGGCAGCAGUGGGGAAUAUUGGACAAUGGGCGCAAGCCUGAUCCAGCAAUGCCGCGUGAGUGAAGAAGGCCUUAGGG
rnacentral:rRNA from 1 species